CCAAAGGGGCUGGGAUCAACUAUGGAGGUGGAUAAAUUAGUUUGGGGCAAUAAUGUGUAUUUGACUGAAUGGGGCAAAAUUAAAUUAUGUACCUUUUAGAGAGUAACUUGAUCUCCAUGUUCUUUUGGGAGCUUUUAUCUGACCUGUGUACCGACUAUAGUUCUAAUUAGCACCAGUUUUAUCCUGUCUUUUGGCUGGGAUUAUGUCUUAUUAUUUUGUGUGUUUCUCAGCACCUAGCAACAGGUAGUAAGCUCCUUGGGUGCCGAAUCAGUAUUUUCUGCCUUGGAAUCAAAUGUCAGAAGUCAACACUCAAACGUCUUUUGACCAAAAAGAUUCUACGACAAUUAUCCAGAAGUUACAAUGCAAGGAAGAAGAAUUGGAUGUUAAGUCUUGCGUAGCAGGGGUUAUGGGGAGUGGAUCAAGACAAAGUAGAGGUAUCUGCUCCCCUCAUCCUUGUAAGCUCCAUGCCAUUUAUCCAUGCUCACAUUGAUCAUCUCAUACGAGCUUCACAUUUCCCCUCAAGAAAUGGAGCGUUACCCCAUUACCUACUCAUAGAGGAGGAACUGGAAGCCAGAGAGGGAGAUGCCUUAUUGACACAGAGCACAAGUGGCAGGAGCUGGCUUCAGACCUCAGUCCAUCCGGUGUGGCAGUCCCUCUUCCCAGGACCAGGUGGAGCUGGAGAGAAGGAGGAAGAGGAGUCUGUGAGGUCCAAAUGGAGAUGCUCGGCAGGCCCUUUCCAAAGGUGGGAGGUGAGGUCGGCCUGGAACCCUACUGGAUGCUUAAGUGUCCUGCCGCACUGCUGAUGAAAGCAGGUCCCCACCGCAGUGUAUAUACAUUGUGUGUUUGCAUCUAAAACGUCUAUAGUUGUUUGAAAUGUUUAAAUCUUUAACCCAUCUGAGAUGUGUUUUCAUGUAUGGUGUGACACAGAGCUCUAAUUUGCUCUUUUUCCAGAUAUCCAGUUUGCUAAGCACCAUUUAUUGUUCCAACACCAUCUUUUCUCUCAAUUCCCUGUCUAGACUCCAGUUCUGUUGAUGAUUUGUCUAUUUCUGAGCCAACAGUACAUAUUAAUGAGCAAAGCUUAAUAAAGUGUCUUAUGGCUUGAUAAGAUAAGCACUCCACCCUUCCCCCAAGGCCUUUAUUCCUUUUUUUCUUUUUGAGACGGAGUCUUGCUCUGCCGCCCAGACUGGGGUUCAGUGGUGCAGUCUCCGCUCACUGCAACCUCCACCUCCCAGGUUCAAGUGAUUCUCCUGCCUCAGUCUCCUGAGUAGCUGGGACUACAGGCACGCGCCACCAUGCCCGGCUAAUUUUUGUAUUUUUUGGUGCAGAUAGGGUUUCACCAUGUUGGCCAGGCUAGUCUCGAACUCCUGACCUCAAGUGAUCCACCCAUCUCGGCCUCCCAAGGUGCUGGGAUUAUAGGCAUGAGCCACCGUGCGCAGCCCCUUAUUCUUUUUUAAAAUUGUCUUGGUCAUAUUGCACAUUUACUUUUUCAGGUACAUUUUAUAAUCAGCUUGUCAAAGUUCUGUGAACAAAAUAUCUGUUGGAAGUUUGAGAAGAAUUGCAUUGAAGGGGAAAUUAACAUCUUUAGAAUAUCAGUUCUUCCCAUCUGUGGACAUGGUGUCUGUCUCUUUUUAAUCAGAAUUGUAUCUGUUUUGUUUUGUUUUG
rnacentral:lncRNA from 1 species